UCUAGCACUUGAUCGAGUUCGCAGUGAUAGACCAACACACACCCUUCAACACUAUACUCAGGAGGCCCUGGCUCCGGAAGAUGAAGGCCUUCCUAUCGAUGCCUCUCCAUUCAGAGUCACCACUAAAAGAAAACUUGUGUACGUUAUUUGGUCGUUAUAUUCAACUUGUUUGAUGUUAACUAUGAAUUAGCAUAAAUAUCAAGUCAUGCUUUAGAUAACUUUACUCCAUUCUAUUCUAUUUGAUAUUGUUCUAUUUAUAAUUUAGAACUCAAAUUAUAUACCUUGGCAUAAAAGAUUAUGUAAUAUAAAUUUCUGUGUUAUGUAUUUCUAUCUUAAUUAUAUAGCUCAGUAUAUUUAUAUUUUUAUAUAGCUGACUACAAAUUUAAUUAUACUAUCUUCAAAUGUAAUAGUCUUUAAUUAUGAUAAAAUUCAAAUUAAAUGGUCUUCCAUAUAAUUUAAAUGAACACCAACAUUCUUUGUUACUAUAAUUUAUUCAUUUUGAUUAACAGUAUUUGAAUAAAUCUGAUAUAAACACACAAUUUGUUCCCAAAAAAAAAAAUUUCUCUUUCAAUAUUAAUUAUGUUUUCCUAGUUUUAAUAAUGUCUUGUGAAUUCUUUAAAUUCACCGUUUAAGUGAUUCAAAUAUGAGAAAUUGCACUGGGUAUACAAACAUAACUCGUAUAUUUGCAUGAAUGGAUUUUCGUCUUUCCGUAUGACGUGUUUUUUUAAUGUUCAUACUGCCCCUAUUCUCCUACAUCGUAGCCUAAUAUCUAAUACAUUUUGGAAAGUCUAUAUUUCAUUUAUACAUGAAGUGAGAGAGACUUCGGUCAUCAUUACAAUCUAUAACACGGGGUUUCAGAAUUAUCUUUCUCAUCUCUCCCAGAGUCUUUGUUUUCUCCACAGUUUCGUUUAUCCUCUCUCUCAAUCUCUUUGAUUUAUCCGUUAGAACCAAUGUCCACAUAGAAUCUUACAUCUCUCUCACUCUUUCUGAGUUCUCCCACGAUACCUUAGCGAUGAUACCAGCUUCCAUCAAUCGCAAUCAUCUAUUAAAAUCGAUCGGAAUCAUUGCUCCAAAACAAUCUCAUACUCGCCGGACUCUCACCGUAUUCGAUUGUCUCCUAUACGAUUUACGUGAUGAUGAUGGCUGCUGGAUAUCAUUUUUUGGAACCACAAAUGAACUGAACAGUCGCAAACCUCCACAAAAGCACCACCACAAAUUAUAUGUAUACGGGAAUCAGAGGAGCAGUGUAUGUGAGCUUCUUCGGACAGUAGAUAGGAGCUGUGGCAGGACGCGAAAGUAGUGCUUAGUCUUGGUGAUUCUUUACGAGCAAAUGCUAUUAACAUAGCUAUGAUUUACUGUUAGACUGUUAACAUAUUUAAUAGCCUAAAAAUCAAAUGUUAGAUUGCUAACAAUUUUAAUAGCAUAUAAUCAUUUAUCUGUUUAUGUAUCUUUGAAUAAUAUUGUCGCUCUAUUUUCCUGUUUUGUGAUA